rnacentral:rRNA from 1 species
GACAGAGGGUGCAAACGUUGCUCGGAAUCACUGGGCGUAAAGGGCGUGUAGGCGGGAAGGAAAGUCGGGCGUGAAAUCCCUGGGCUCAACCCAGGAACUGCACUCGAAACUUCUUUUCUUGAGUGCCGGAGAGGAAAGCGGAAUUCCUGGUGUAGAGGUGAAAUUCGUAGAUAUCAGGAGGAACACCAGUGGCGAAGGCGGCUUUCUGGGACGGUAA